GAUCCUGGCUCAGGAUGAACGCUGGCGGCGUGCUUAACACAUGCAAGUCGAACGAAGCGUUUGAGAUUGAUUCUUCGGAAGAUUUCUCUUGUGACUUAGUGGCGGACGGGUGAGUAACGCGUGGGUAACCUGCCUCACACAGGGGGAUAACAGUUGGAAACGACCGCUAAUACCGCAUAACCCGCUAGGGCCGCAUGGCCCGGACGGAAAAGAUUUAUCGGUGUGAGAUGGACCCGCGUUGGAUUAGCUAGUUGG
rnacentral:rRNA from 1 species